AACGGUGGAGCCUGCGGUUUAAUUGGACUCAACGCCGGGCAGCUCACCGGAUAAGACAGCUGGAUGAUAGCCGGGCUGAAGACUCUGCUUGACUAGCUGAGAGGAGGUGCAUGGCCGUCGUCAGUUCGUACUGUGAAGCAUCCUGUUAAGUCAGGCAACGAGCGAGACCCACGCCAACAGUUGCCAGCAUGUCCUCCGGGAUGAUGGGGACACUGUUGGGACCGCCUCUGCUAAAGAGGAGGAAGGAAUGGGCAACGGUAGGUCAGCAUGCCCCGAAUUAUCCGGGCUACACGCGGGCUACAAUGGUCAGGACAAUGGGUAUCGACACCGAGAGGUGGAGGCAAUCUCCUAAACCCAUCCGUAGUUCGGAUUGUGGGCUGCAACUCGCCCACAUGAAGCUGGAAUCUGUAGUAAUCGUGUCUCAAAAUGGCACGGUGAAUAUGCCCCUGCUCCUU
rnacentral:rRNA from 1 species